GAAGAGAUUGAUUUACAAUCUAUUCUCUCUGAAGCCUGCUACUUGGAGGUUUCGUCUGCAUUAUAAAACCUUAUUCUCCACAAUCCCUUAUCAUAACCCAGACAUUCCUUUCUGUUGAUUCCAGGUCUUUAGAUAAUAACUCUUUCAACCAGUUGUCAAUCAGAAAAUCUUUGAAUCUGCCUAUGAGUUGGAAGUCCCCUCUUUCCCCCACUUUCCAGUUGUCCUGCCUUUUCGGACCAUUCCAGUGAACAUCUUACAUGUAUUGAUUGAUGUCUUAUGUCUCCCUAAAGUGGUAUAAAACCAAACUAUAGCCUGGCCACCUUGAACACAUGUUCUCAGGACCUCCUGGGGCUGUGUCAUAGGCCAUUAGUCACUUAAAUUGGAGCAGAAUAAAUCUCUUUAAAUAUUUUAGAGUUUGACUUUUUUUGUCAACAUGACAAUGGCUUGCUUAGUCUAACCAGCAUGUUCUAGGACACUGUAAAAUUAAAAAAAAAAAACCCAAGUACCAAACAAAUCACUCUUCAAGGGGAACAAGCUGACUGUAAUGGGUACAAAAGAUGGCUGGUUUAGGUGGAAAAGUAAAAGAAUCAGCCACCCCCUUUAGGGUUUUGCUGAGUGUUGUAGAUAGGGCUAGGAUUGCAGUGAGCAACACCUUAAAAAUGCUUAAGGCCCAGGUCGUUGGGAAUUUGCAUUCAGAUGUAAUUGAAGCUAAGAUGUUUUCCAAAACUAUUAACAUUUCUUGGCUUAAAAAUUGGGGAACUAGCACACGGGGCUGCCUAGGGCUGUUUGUACAGGGAAGGCCUCAGAAACACCAGAAUCAUCUGAAGCCCCUGGGGGUUUUACAUAGCUGAGGAAUUUUACUUGUUCAUUUGUGUGUUUACACCCUUGAGACAAUACAAUCUAAACAGUAAUCGCCCUGUUAAGUGGUAGUCGUGCCAAUCUUGCUAACUUAUAUCACAGUUCUCUGUUUCUUCAAACAUGAUGACCAAAAGAAAACCUUUUCUGGAUAUUUAAGUCAGGGAUAGCUUUAAAAACCUCCAUGGCUGCCAUGCAGUAUUGAUGGAGUUUGCUCCUGGGCCUGUGGAGGUUUGUAAACUAGCCUGGAAAUGCUCCUUUUAAAACUCUGCCUGCUUUUCGUGCUUUGUUUGUGUUGUUUCUUUUCUGACUGUGUGCGGGGCCUUGUGGGUCCUCUGAGGGUCUGGCCUAUGGUUCCUGGCCCAUAGAAACUUUUCUUCUUUUUAUAUCUUGGCAGCUCUCAGGCUCCUGGAAGACUGCAAACCCUGCAAACAAACUUGUUAAGGUUUUAAACAUGAAUCAGAGACAUCAGCAAAGGCCAAAUGGGACAUCCUGCAAUCUUUACUGUGGACCACAAGAAGCUAUUUUUUCACUAUAGAUCUUUAAAAUACAGGACUCCUGGCACAUGGCCAAAUGGUAAAUACCAGAUCGAAUGCCAUCCUGAGAUCAGAUAUCAGGACAAGAGCAAGAGAACAAGUUACCUGAGUCUCUCUCAUCAACUCUGACUUGACAGAACAAGGCAGGCAAGAUUAGAGACAAGCACCACCUUCCUGGCACUGUAACCUUUUCAUCAGCAUCCAUUAGACAAUGCAGGAUGAAGUGACUACUCUGUUGCGGCCCAGAAUCCAUCAGAAUUGAUGACUAGGAAUAAUUAUGACACACUCCUGGCCAGUUAGGCUUCGGCUGGUAUUUGUUUUGCUGCCUGAAUUUUAUAAUCCUCUUUCUGGUCUUAAAAAUAUUAAAUCUCAUUCUGUGUGUUCCACGUUUAA